GUGGCGCACGGGUGAGUAACGCGUAGACAUCUGCCCUUCAGUCUGGGACAACUUUUCGAAAGGAGAGCUAAUACCGGAUAACAAUGUUUGACAUAAGUUAAAUAUUUGAAAGCUUUAUGUGCUGAAGGAGGGGUCUGCGUCCCAUUAGCUAGUUGGUGAGGUAAAGGCUUACCAAGGCAACGAUGGGUAACGGGUUUGAGAGGACGAUCCGUCACACUGGAACUGAGACACGGUCCAGACUCCUACGGGAGGCAGCAGUGGGGAAUAUUGCACAAUGGAGGAAACUCUGAUGCAGCAAUGUCGCGUGAGUGAAGAAGGCCCUUGGGUCGUAAAGCUCUUUUAUGGGGGAAGAUGAUGACGGUACCCCAGGAAUAAGCACCGGCUAACUACGUGCCAGCAGCCGCGGUAAUACGUAGGGUGCGAGCGUUGUUCGGAAUUACUGGGCGUAAAGGGCGCGCAGGCGGAAUAGUAAGUCAGAGGUGAAAGCCCGGGGCUCAACCCCGGAGGGUCUUUCGAAACUGCUAAUCUAGAGAGGGUC
rnacentral:rRNA from 1 species